rnacentral:rRNA from 1 species
UGCGGAGGGUGCGAGCGUUGUCCGGAAUCAUUGGGCGUAAAGGGCGCGUAGGUGGCCCGGUCAGUUCGUGGUGAAAGCGCGGGGCUCAACCCUGCGUCGGCCAUGAAUACUGCCGCGGCUGGAGCACUGUAGAGGCAGGCGGAAUUCCGGGUGUAGCGGUGAAAUGCGCAGAUAUCAGGAAGAACACCCGUGGCGAAGGCGGUUCUCUGGGACGGUACUGACGCUGAGACGCGAAAGCGUGGGGAGCGAACAGG